rnacentral:tRNA from 1 species
GGGGUUGUAGCUCAGUGGUAGAGUGCUUGCUUUCCACACAUGAAGCCCUGCGUUCGAUCCUCAGCACCA